rnacentral:rRNA from 1 species
UACGUAGGGGCCUAGCGUUGUCCGGAAUUAUUGGGCGUAAAGAGCUCGUAGGCGGUUCGGCAAGUCGGAUGUGAAAUCUCCACGCUUAACGUGGAGGGGCCAUUCGAAACUGCUGUGACUCGAGUCCGGUAGGGGAGUGUGGAAUUCCCGGUGUAGCGGUGAAAUGCGUAGAUAUCUGGAGGAAUACCGGUGGCGAAGGCGGCAUCCUGGACCGACAUUGACGCUGAACGGCGAAAGCUAGGGGAGCAAACGGG